rnacentral:rRNA from 1 species
UGGGGAAUAUUGCACAAUGGGCGAAAGCCUGAUGCAGCGACGCCGCGUGAGGGAUGACGGCCUUCGGGUUGUAAACCUCUUUCAGUAGGGACGAAGCGCAAGUGACGGUACCUGCAGAAGAAGCACCGGCUAACUACGUGCCAGCAGCCGCGGUAAUACGUAGGGUGCGAGCGUUGUCCGGAAUUACUGGGCGUAAAGAGCUCGUAGGCGGUUUGUCACGUCGUCUGUGAAAUCCUAGGGCUUAACCCUGGACGUGCAGGCGAUACGGGCUGACUUGAGUACUACAGGGGAGACUGGAAUUUCUGGUGUAGCGGUGGAAUGCACAGAUAUCAGGAAGAACACCGAUGGCGAAGGCAGGUCUCUGGGUAGUAACUGACGCUGCGGAGCGAAAGCAUGGGUAGCGAACAGG